GAUGAACGCUGGCGGCGUGCCUAAUACAUGCAAGUCGAGCGAAUGGAUUAAGAGCUCGCUCUUAUGAAGUUAGCGGCGGACGGGUGAGUAACACGUGGGUAACCUGCCCAUAAGACUGGGAUAACUCCGGGAAACCGGGGCUAAUACCGGAUAACAUUUUGAACCGCAUGGUUCGAAAUUGAAAGGCGGCUUCGGCUGUCACUUAUGGAUGGACCCGCGUCGCAUUAGCUAGUUGGUGAGGUAACGGCUCACCAAGGCAACGAUGCGUAGCCGACCUGAGAGGGUGAGCGGCCACACUGGGACUGAGACACGGCCCAGACUCCUACGGGAGGCAGCAGUAGGGAAUCUUCCGCAAUGGACGAAAGUCUGACGGAGCAACGCCGCGCGAGUGAUGAAGGCUUUCGGGUCGUAAAACUCUGUUGUUAGGAAAGAACAAGUGCUAGUUGAAUAAGCUGGCACCUUGACGGUACCUAACCAGAAAGCCACGGCUAACUACGUGCCAGCCGCCGCGGUAA
rnacentral:rRNA from 1 species